rnacentral:rRNA from 1 species
GACGAACGCUGGCGGCGUGCCUAAUACAUGCAAGUCGAACGCAGUGGGGACGGGUGAGUAACACGUGGGUAACCUCCCAUCAGAGGGGAUAACACUUGGAAACAGGUGCUAAACCGAUAUUGAUGGAUGAACCCGCGGUGCAUUAGCUAGUUGGUGAGGUAACGGCUCACCAAGGCCACGCUGCAUAGCGGACCUUGAAGGGUGAGCGGCCACACGGGGACGUAGACACGGCCCAGACUCCUACGGGAGGCAGCAGUAGGGAAUCUUCGGAAAUGGACGAAAGUCUGACCGAGCAACGCCGGGUGAGUGAAGAAGGUUGUCGGAGCGUAAACCUCUGUGGUUAGGGAAGCGGUAUCUAACCAGAAAGCCACGGCUAACUACGUGCCAGCCGCCGCGGUAAUAC